rnacentral:rRNA from 1 species
CCUACGGGUGGCAGCAGUGGGGAAUAUUGGACAAUGGGGGGAACCCUGAUCCAGCCAUGCCGCGUGUGUGAAGAAGGCCCUCGGGUUGUAAAGCACUUUCAGUGAGGAAGAACGCCUGGUGGUUAAUACCCAUCAGGAAAGACAUCACUCACAGAAGAAGCACCGGCUAACUCCGUGCCAGCAGCCGCGGUAAUACGGAGGGUGCGAGCGUUAAUCGGAAUUACUGGGCGUAAAGCGCGCGUAGGUGGCUUGAUAAGCCGGUUGUGAAAGCCCCGGGCUCAACCUGGGAACGGCAUCCGGAACUGUCAAGCUAGAGUGCAGGAGAGGAAGGUAGAAUUCCCGGUGUAGCGGUGAAAUGCGUAGAGAUCGGGAGGAAUACCAGAGGCGAAGGCGGCCUUCUGGACUGACACUGACACUGAGGUGCGAAAGCGUGGGUAGCAAACAGGAUUAGAUACCCGUGUUGUC